rnacentral:rRNA from 1 species
AUUGAACGCUAGCGGCAGGCCUAACACAUGCAAGUCGAACGAGUGGCGGACGGGAGAGUAAUGUCUGGGAAACUGCCUGAUGGAGGGGGAUAACUACUGGAAACGGUAGCUAAUACCGCAUACCAUCAGAUGUGCCCAGAUGGGCUUGGCUAGUUGGUGGGGGAAGGGCGCACCAAGGCGACGAUCCCUAGCUGGUCUGAGAGGAUGACGAGCCAAACUGGAACUGAGACACGUGCCAGACUCCUACGGGAGGCAGCAGUGGGGAAUAUUGGACAAUGGGCGCAAGCCUGAUGCAGCCAUGCCGGGUGUAUGAAGAAGGCCUUCGGGUUGUAAAGUACUUUCAGCGGGGAGGCGUUACCCGCAGAAGAAGCACCGGCUAACUCCGUGCCAGCAGCCGCGGUAAUUC